rnacentral:rRNA from 1 species
AUUGAACGCUGGCGGCAUGCUUUACACAUGCAAGUCGAACGGCAGCGCGGGCUUCGGCCUGGCGGCGAGUGGCGAACGGGUGAGUAAUGCAUCGGAACGUGCCCAGUAGUGGGGGAUAGCCCGGCGAAAGCCGGAUUAAUACCGCAUACGACCUGAGGGUGAAAGCGGGGGACCGAAAGGCCUCGCGCUAUUGGAGCGGCCGAUGUCGGAUUAGCUAGUUGGUGGGGUAAAGGCUUACCAAGGCGACGAUCCGUAGGUGGUCUGAGAGGGCGACCAGCCACACUGGGACUGAGACACGGCCCAGACUCCUACGGGAGGCAGCAGUGGGGAAUUUUGGACAAUGGGGGCAACCCUGAUCCAGCCAUGCCGCGUGCGGGAAGAAGGCCUUCGGGUUGUAAACCGCUUUUGUUCGGGAAGAAAUCCUCUGGGCUAAUACCCCGGGGGGAUGACGGUACCGGAAGAAUAAGCACCGGCUAACUACGUG